AUUGAACGCUGGCGGCAGGCCUAACACAUGCAAGUCGAACGAGUGGCGGACGGGUGAGUAAUGUCUGGGAAACUGCCUGAUGGAGGGGGAUAACUACUGGAAACGGUAGCUAAUACCGCAUACCAUCGGAUGUGCCCAGAUGGGAUUAGCUAGUAGGUGGGGUAACGGCUCACCUAGGCGACGAUCCCGAGCUGGUCUGAGAGGAUGACCAGCCACACGGGAACGGAGACACGGUCCAGACUCCUACGGGAGGCAGCGGUGGGGAAUAUUGCACAAUGGGCGCAAGCCUGAUGCAGCCAUGCCGCGUGUUUGAAGAAGGCCUUCGGGUUGUAAAGCACUUUCAGCUGGGAGGCGUUACCCGCAGCAGAAGCACCGGCUAACUCCGUGCCAGCAGCCGCGGUAAUAC
rnacentral:rRNA from 1 species